UUUUUUUUUUUAAUAUUUUAUUUUAUAGGUGUAAUUUUUCUUUCAGUAAUUCAGAAAGUAUUUGAGAGGGACCUACCAGCGUUUGAGUGCUUGAUCUCCUGCACUAAGAAACAAGCAUGACUAGGCUGCUGGCCCAAUGACAUUUUAUAUUUUAUUAUUCCGUUAGGCAUUGACAAUCUUAAGGGAAUUAAAGUUCAUUGGAAAAAUUUAUGGAGCAAGUGAAAUUAUGAUGAAGUCUACCUUUCCAAAUGCAUGCAACUUUAGUUUUUUAAGUGCUAGUAGUAACCAUUCAACUAUGUGCAUCCCCAUCAACAGCAAUUAUAAACUUGGGUGAACCAAUAUUUUAGUACCUAGUGUUAAAUAGAGACAAGAAGUUGUUAGAGUAUUUGGACAAACUCAAGCCUAUUCAUUGCAAUGCAGAAUACUGCACUUACCUUUGACCUGAAAGUCACUCACGAUUAAACUUUUGUCUGACAUUUUCCCUAAAAUGGAGGUAAAGUUUGCAAUGUAUUGGACACAAUUAUGGUACGCAAUUGGAAGCCUAGGCGUAGAACUGAAAAUAACUUCAAAUGUUCAGCCUAAAACUCUAGUGGGUGGGGGAUGGGGAGAUGAAAGACGAAACUGGAACAGAUUACCACUCGUGUCCCCUUUGUAUUUGUAAAUUGGCUACUGUUGCCCAUAAUUUACGUUUUGAAAUGCAUGGAAUCCACACCUUAUUUCCAUUCCAAUGUCAAACAUUGCUAGUUGCCAAAGAGCAGAAUUUUUCAUUACUUUUUAAAAGCACUUCUUGUAUUCAUGCUUCAAUUUUGCAAGUUUGGAACUGCAAGGAGUAGAUCCAAGUACUGGCCCGAGAGAACCCUUUGCCCUCUGUUUUUCCACAAAAGAUGUUCUGGUCUGUGAAUGAAACUCAUCAUCCAAAAAUAAAGUAGAUUACUUUCUCUUUAUUUGGAAUUUUCAAAUAUUUUCCAACCCCAACCUGGCAUACGUUGUUGAUGAUUGUUAUAAUUUUUUGCUCUCACAAUGACAAAUGUGAUGUUAUAAUUCAUGCAUUUAACUCGGAAGUAUACAAAUUACAAGUUCUCGUUUGUGGUGCACAGAUAUUUUAUGAUGAAAGCCAGCAGUUAAUAUGCAAAUUCUCUGGAGGAUUAAAAUUGUCUGGUUAUAAUGUUUAUUAUUAUUUUUUUCCAGGUCUUUAAUGAAAUAAAUAGCCGCGACAUAGAGAAGAUAAAUGUAUUCCGAGGCAUGUUCGACAGUUGGAUAUUCCUAGUUGUUAUUGUUUCAACAGUGACAUUCCAAAUAAUCAUAGUGGAGUUCUUGGGAACUUU
rnacentral:misc_RNA from 1 species